UGGGUCGAAUCUUUGGACAAAUCACGAGCCUUGAUGCCACAAAGUCUCCUUGGAAAGAAGAAAGAGAAGAAGACAAAUCCCUGCGCUUACAUCUGGUCAGUAGAUUUACCCAAUAGUCGUAUGCGCAACUCUUUAUAAGAGUGCUCAGCAGAGUGGUCAGAACUUCGUAACUUCCCGACUUUGAGGGAUUUGGGAGUAUUUUGCAUUGCUAAUCUUGGGAUUUUUCAGAAAUGGCACCACCCGUUCUGCGUGGAUUUGUUCAGAGGCACCUUAGAAAUGCCAUCCUGCGUUCCAUAGCCAUUGGCACAGCAGGUGGAUUUGUGUGGAAGUAUGGAUAUGCUGAACCCAAAAGAAGGAAGUAUGAAGAAUUCUACAAGAACUACGAUGCCGAAAAAGUGGCAAAAGAAAUGGAAGCGGAAAUGGAAGCUCUUGAAUAAAAGUUACUUUCUUCCUGGAAUUGUUCUCUGUACUGAGGCUAUUGUUUUUACUUGCAUAUUGUGACAUUCUUGUUCUUAAACUUGUUACUGUAAAGUGUAACUGACUUGAAUAAAAUUUUGUGAUUUGCUAGUGGUA